GGAAAUUACAGAAAAUUAGAGGGAUUUGCAGGGAUGUCCAUAAUACAGCUAAUGGAGAUUGCAAAUACAGUAUAUAUGAAUAGGGAGACGGAUUAAGAACGUAAAAUGAGGAAAAAGGAAGAUAUGCUAGCGGUAGCUAUCUUAAGUGUAGAAAGACAGGGAAGUGAAUAGAGGAGACGAGAAUAGGCUGAGCAAGGGACUUUAAGUAGGAAUUAAUGUGCGUAUUGUAGAAAGGAGGGACAUUGGAAGAGUGAGUGUCCACAGAGAGAGCAGUAUGAAGGUGAUAGACAAG